UACGUAGGGUGCAAGCGUUGUCCGGAAUUAUUGGGCGUAAAGAGCUCGUAGGCGGUUUGUCGCGUCUGCUGUGAAAACUCGGGGCUUAACUCCGGGCCUGCAGUGGGUACGGGCAGACUAGAGUGCGGUAGGGGAGACUGGAAUUCCUGGUGUAGCGGUGAAAUGCGUAGAUAUCAGGAGGAAUACCGAUGGCGAAGGCAGGUCUCUGGGCUGACACUGACGCUCAUGCACGAAAGCGUGGGGAGCAAACAGG
rnacentral:rRNA from 1 species